AACCCAUGGUGAGGGUACUGGUUUGUAUAGCUUCUGAAUCUCUCACAGGAUUCACCAAAUGUCUCAUUAUUGUGUUGAGUAAAUCUUAAGAUCUGAUUCAUCAGCUU
rfam:Eutrema salsugineum unplaced genomic scaffold scaffold_24, whole genome shotgun sequence.